CAUGAGUACCUGGGUUUUGGAGGCAUUUAGGAGAAUAUAGUUAGUGAACCUACUCUAGGGAGACCGACGCCUUGGUGACUAGAGACGAUGUCUGUGGAGCCUCGAGGAGGGGUUCUAAGUCCUCGACGUUGAGGUGGAGUUCUAGACCGCUGUCGAUCCCUUGGGGAUUCCUUCCUGAUUAGAGAGAGUCUAAGAUCUUCC
rnacentral:lncRNA from 1 species